AGCAAUUAAAAAGACCACAGACAGAGACCAGGGGAUUUGGGUGGUGAGCAAGCUAGUAGUUUAAGGGCACUGAAAACCGGUGGGGACCUUCUUCCCACAGUAGUUGAUGAGCAAGCUGAGGUCGACGGGAAUGUUGAGCUUAAUGCCGAGAAUAUUGGCCUUGAGUGCGGUGCAGAGGCAGACGGCGGCCUCGAGGUCAGCGAGGCCUUUGAUGAGAGAGCAGCAUGGCUUCUUGGGUGGCUUGCCGAGGUUGAGGUUGAUGAGGCCGUUGAGCACGUUGGCGCACACGCCUAGCUUGAGGGUGUCAAUGGGGCACUUGCCCUUGGAGCGGCUCGGGGGCUUGGGGGUUGGGCCAGGGCAAACACCACAGCCGCUAACCAGAGCAAAGAAGAGGAGGUUGAGAGCAAGGAAGAGGGCAGCCGAUGCUGAGUUCUUGGAUGCCAUGGCUUGGUAAUCACAAACACCUACCUUACCUAAGUGGGAGAGGGAGCAAUACUAGCUA
rnacentral:lncRNA from 1 species